rnacentral:piRNA from 2 species
UGUGAUUUUGGAGCCUACACUUGAAAUGGGA